UAUUACUAAAAUUGUGAAUUAAUUUGAAGUUGGCGCGUUACAUUAUGUACAUAUAAAGAAGCGCAAUCGAUAGUAUCAAUAGUAUCGAGCCAAAACGAUCUGAAUUAUGAUCACUAGAUUUAAGAGAUAUACGAAAUAAAACGAACGAGCAAGGAACUACAUCGAGCGGAUUAAGGAAGGUCUUAAUUGUGUAGACGGAUUCCACUGGAAAACUGUUGGAGGGACUUAGCUCGUACAGAA